ACGGGUCCCCGCACAAGCAGCGGAGCGUGUGGUCUAAUUCGAUGCUACACGAAGAACCUUACCUGGGUUUGACAUAGAGGUAGUUAGGGAGGCGAAAGCGGACCGACCCUUCGGGGAGCCUCUACAGGUGUUGCAUGGCUGUCGUCAGCUCGUGUCGUGAGAUGUUCGGUUAAGUCCGCUAACGAGCGCAACCCUCGCUGUGUGUUACAAGUGUCACACGGUACUGCCGAUAUUAAGUCGGAGGAAGGUGGGGAUGACGUCAAGUCAGCAUGACCUUUAUAUCCAGGGCUACACACACGCUACAAUGGCCAGUACAAUGGGUUGCCAAGCCGCGAGGCGGAGCCAAUCCUAAAAAGCUGGCCUCAGUUCAGAUUGCAGUCUGCAACUCGACUGCAUGAAGUUGGAGUUGCUAGUAACCGCAGGUCAGCAAUACUGCGGUGAAUACGUUCCCGGGGAUU
rnacentral:rRNA from 1 species